GAAGAGCUAAAAAAACGAUUUGAACAAGAAGAUGUCUCAUUGGACAAGCCUAUUAUGGCCUCGUGUGGGACCGGCGUAUCAGCUUGCAUCCUGGCAAUGGGGCUUCACCGGUUGGGGAAAACCGACGUGCCGGUCUAUGAUGGGUCGUGGACUGAAUGGGCGACACAACCAGAUUUGCCCAUAGAGGGUGAUGAAUCUUCUUCAUGAAAGUCUCCACGGUAAAGACUAGCGACAAGAUUACAAGCCACAGAAGAAAAUAAUUGUGAUGUUUAACUUGAAGAAAUGGCUUGAAGUAUUCAAAAAUCCAAUUGCUGGCUUUAAAUUUGCCUCAACCCUCAACUAGAAGAGGACUGUAUUUAUAGAACUUGGUUUUUUCUUUUUCUUUUUUUGUUCUGGAUCCAUCUUCCGAAUAAAAUCAAGAAACAGAAUAUUGUUUAUGAUUCUCAAACAGAGAUCUUGAGGCUAUAAUAAACAAGUUUUUUCGGCA